AACGCGAAGAACCUUACCCGGGCUUGAAAUGUAGAGGAAUAGAUUAGAAAUAUUCUAGCCAGCAAUGGUCUCUAUGUAGGUGCUGCAUGGUUGUCGUCAGCUCGUGCCGUGAGGUGUCGGCUUAAGUGCCAUAACGAGCGCAACCCCUAUCGUUAGUUACUAACAGGUUAAGCUGAGGACUCUAGCGAGACUGCCCGCGCAAGCGGCGAGGAAGGCGGGGAUGACGUCAAAUCAGCACGGCCCUUACGUCCGGGGCGACACACGUGUUACAAUGGAUGGUACAAAGGGUUGCUACUUGGCGACAAGAUGCUAAUCCCUAAAACCAUUCCCAGUUCGGAUCGGAGUCUGCAACUCGACUCCGUGAAGCUGGAUUCGCUAGUAAUCGCGCAUCAGCCAUGGCGCGGUGAAUACGUUCCCGGGUCUUGUACACACCG
rnacentral:rRNA from 1 species